GGCUUGUUGGUCUAGGGGUAUGAUUCUUGCUAUGGGUGCGAGAUUUCGCUGUUUCAAAUCCUGUACGAGCCC